GUGUAGCUCAAUGGUAUAGCACUUGCUUUGCAUGUAUGAGUCCCUGGGUUCAAUCCCCAGCAC
rnacentral:tRNA from 1 species